UUUAUGUAUGUAUGUAUGUAUUUAUUUAUUUAUUUAUUUAUUAUUUAUCAGAGACGGAGAGACGGAGAAGCAGGUUCCAUCCAGAGCGCCUGACCUGGGACUCUGAGCCCGCGUCUCCAGAACCACGCCCUGGGCUGAAGGCGGAGCUCGACCCCCGAGCGGCCGGGCCGUUGCCCCUAGUUUCUCUUUUUUUUCCUUCUCUUUUUUUGGAAGACACAGACGGAGACGGAGAAGCAGGCUCCAUCCAGAGCGCCUGACCUGGGACUCUGAGCCCGCGUCUCCAGAACCACGCCCUGGGCUGAAGGCGGAGCUCGACCCCCGAGCGGCCGGGCCGUUGCCCCGAGUUUGUCUUUGUUUGUAUACACAGACGGAGACGGAGAAGCAGGCUCCAUCCAGAGCGCCUGACCUGGGACUCUGAGCCCGCGUCUCCAGGACCACGCCCUGGGCUGAAGGCGGAGCUCGACCCCCGAGCGGCCGGGCCGUUGCCGCAAGUUUACCUUUUUUUUCCUUCUCUUUUUUUGGAAGGUUUGUUUGUGUCCUUGCGUGGAGCCUGCUUCUUCUCCCUCUGCCUAGGUCUCUGCCCCUUCCUCUCUCCUCUCUCCUCUGUCUCUCUCUCUCUCUCUCUCUCUCUCCCUCCCUACGUUCGGACUUCUAGGUCACCCCAUCAGAAAGAUGCCUCGUGGGAUGGGACCCAAGAGGUGGUCCAGAGAAAUAAGGACCCGAUCUCCCCCCCCCCCCCCCCCCCGCCACUUCCCUUGAGUCCAAAUCAUGAAGAAGACGGGGAAAGCAGGCCAGGCAGGCGGACGCCGGAAAUCCCAAGUCCACACGCACGCACGAGCACCAGAACUGAUGCCCAACCCACUCCACCUCUUUCAGAGGGCUGAGAGGGAGGCAACCACGGACAAAGCCUGUUUUCCAGGAGGAAACCGAGAUGAAGGAACAGGCGGAGGUGGAGGCGGAAGGCUGGAAGGUUGACGGAUAAGAGAAAGGAAAAGAGGGACGGACGCCUGGGUGGCUCAGUGGUUGGGCGG